CAGCCUUUCAGAUUAACCCUUUCAAAGAUGUCCCAGCCUAUCAUUGCAAAACAGAGUUCAGCACAGUCAAAUUGAGGAUGGUCUUCAGCACACUGAUGGUAUCAGAUUGCUGGCAAACACAGGCAGACAUGUUUCUCAAGCCACAAGUCAUGUUCUGAGUCUCAAGGUGCCCGUAGAGUCAUUAGCAAGCAUCCUAACUUAAAUGAUUAGGAGAGUGGUAUGGACGAUGAGCCUGUUUCUAGUGCUGCUUCAACUUUUAUCAAUUAUGCAACACAACACAGAUGCGAGCCUUCACCUUUGCUUUUUGUGUGCUGCUAAAAUAUACUCCCUUUUAAAGCA